UUAAUAGCAUAUCAUAUAAUAACAAUUAUUUUGAGAUUAUAAAAAAUAAAUAAAUUAAAAAAAAAAUGUUUCUUAAUCAAGAUUUAAACAUCUCGAUAUUUCAUUUCACCAACGUUAAUUAAACAAACAUACACUAUACACUAAGGUCAUAGGUCAUACACCCCUAACAAGUUCUCUAUGCUCAACAUUAGAGGUCAUAAAUCACACAAGAGGUCAUAAGUCAUACACCCCUAAAAAAUUCUGUAUGCUCAACACUAGAGGUCAUAAAUCAUACAAGAGGUCAAAGGUCAUACACCCCUAACAAAUUCUGUAUGCUCAACACUAGAGGUCAUAAA